rnacentral:misc_RNA from 1 species
AACUCAAAAUGCAAUGUGAAAUAUGAAGAAUAUAUUAAAUAGUAGUGAAGAUGCAUGUUUAUGAAGACAGAGAGAUAAUGUAUGGUUGGAUUACUGGG